UACGUAGGUGGCAAGCGUUGUCCGGAUUUACUGGGCGGAAAGAGCGCGCAGGCGGUCGUUCAAGUCGCGUGUGAAAGCCCCCGGCUCAACUGGGGAGGGUCACGCGAUACUGAUCGACUGGAAGGCAGGAGAGGGUAGUGGAAUUCCCGGUGUAGUGGUGAAAUGCGUAGAUAUCGGGAGGAACACCAGUGGCGAAGGCGACUACCUGGCCUGUUCUUGACGCUGAGGCGCGAAAGCUAGGGGAGCAAACGGG
rnacentral:rRNA from 1 species